rnacentral:rRNA from 1 species
CACGUAGGGGGCAAGCGUUGUCCGGAUUUAUUGGGCGUAAAGAGCUCGUAGGCGGCUCAGUAAGUCAGGUGUGAAACCUCCAGGCUCAACCUGGAGACGCCACCUGAUACUGCUGUGGCUAGAGUCCGGUAGGGGAGCGUGGAAUUCCUGGUGUAGCGGUGAAAUGCGCAGAUAUCAGGAGGAACACCAGCGGCGAAGGCGGCGCUCUGGGCCGGAACUGACGCUAAGGCGCGAAAGCGUGGGGAGCGAACAGG